UACGAAGGGGCUAGCGUUGCUCGGAAUCACUGGGCGUAAAGCGCACGUAGGCGGAUUGUUAAGUCAGGGGUGAAUCCUGGAGCUCAACUCCAGAACUGCCUUGAUACUGGCGAUCUCGAGUCCGGGAGAGGUGAGUGGAACUGCGAGUGUAGAGGUGAAAUUCGUAGAUAUUCGCAAGAACACCAGUGGCGAAGGCGGACUC
rnacentral:rRNA from 1 species